UGCAGUGCAGUGCACUGACUGACGCUAUUUGCUUGGAUGUUGCUGAAAGAAAGGAGGCAUUCUUCAUUGUGCAGCACUACUGUGGAGGCCGAGAGAGUUUUGACGAGGCUUCUGUACCCAGGAGGCGGAGGCAGCAAUGCCAGCUUCAAUGCGCACAGUCCUUUAAAAGGGACACCCAGCUAAGAUUUUAUUGCAAAUUCUACACAGAAUGCACUGCUCUACACAUUUGGUUUUGGAAACACUGUGUAUUAUUGUAAGUGUACACCAGGGGUGGGGAACCUUUUUCAUUUGAAGGGCCACUUCAAAUUACU